rnacentral:miRNA from 14 species
CGGUAUUCCUGAGUGAAUAAUA